AACGAACGCUGGCGGCAGGCCUAACACAUGCAAGUCGAGCGGGGAAGGGUAGCUUGCUACCUAACCUAGCGGCGGACGGGUGAGUAAUGCUUAGGAAUCUGCCAUUUAGUGGGGGACAACAUUCCGAAAGGAAUGCUAAUACCGCAUACGUCCUACGGAGAAAGCAGGGGAUCUUCGGACCUUGCGCUAGAUGAUGAGCCUAAGUCGGAUUAGCUAGUUGGUGGGGUAAAGGCCUACCAAGGCGACGAUCUGUAGCGGGUCUGAGAGGAUGAUCCGCCUCACUGGGACUGAGACACGGCCCAGACUCCUACGGGAGGCAGCAGUGGGGAAUAUUGGACAAUGGGCGGAAGCCUGAUCCAGCCAUGCCGCGUGUGUGAAGAAGGCCUUAUGGUUGUAAGGCACUUUAAGCGAGGAGGAGGCUACUUAGAUUAAUACUCUAGGAUAGUGGACGUUACUCGCAGAAUAAGCACCGGCUAACUCUGUGCCAGCCGCCGCGGUAA
rnacentral:rRNA from 1 species